rnacentral:lncRNA from 1 species
AUCAUGAUCGAGAUCAUCAAAGGUCCUAUCAGGGUGACUCAAUAUGAAUCAAGUAUUACAAAUUUCGAAUAGGAUCGGACUGGGAUCAGAUCUACUGUACGAAUUUGGGAGCAAUCUCAAUUCAUCAUAUUUUUAUUUCAAAUAUAUCCUAGGGUCUGUGAUGCAAUCAGAGAGAGGGUAGAAAGAUUCUAGAGAGAUAAAAUCCACAAAAAGAGAGAAAGAUCUAGAGGGAAAAUAGAGAGAUAAUCUAGAGAGAGAAAUUGGAGAGAGAAGGCAGAGAGAGGAGAGAGAAAAAAUUUUUCUCUCUUCUUCUUCUUUUUAUUUUAUUUUAUUUUUAUUUUUGUCUUUCUCUUUUUCUUUUUUUUCUUUUUCUUUUCUUUUUCUUUUUCCUUUUUCUUUUCUUUUCUUUUCUUCUUCUUCUUUCUUCUUUUCUUUUCUUCCCGCGGCCUCCCUUGGCUGAAACAGAGGAAGACCGUGAGGUCCCCCCCCCUCGGUGGCUCGGCUCCGACGGGGUGGUGGCUUGCCCGGAGAUCCGACAACGGCCGGCGAUGGGGUUCGACCGACGGUGGCCAGCAGCGGAUGGCCGGCAGCGAAGAGGAGAACGGCGGCA